UUGACCGGGAUGCAAGAACCUUGCCUCGUCAAACCUGGAUCGACUUCUGCGCCAUAUUAGCCUCCGUCCUUCACCGCGAUUCACCUCAAGAACCUGCAAAAGACAGAACGGCGCCGCUGCGGCCGAUCACGCUCCGACGCCCAAGUCAGCGACUGAACCACCAAAUACUAAGAGAAAACUCAAGACCUCUAAGUAACCGUGCAAAAUUCUCUCUCAGCGUACUCAAGACUCGCAAGCGUAAAGAAACAAUCUAAA
rnacentral:lncRNA from 1 species